rnacentral:rRNA from 1 species
UACGUAGGGCGCAAGCGUUAUCCGGAAUUAUUGGGCGUAAAGAGCUCGUAGGCGGUUUGUCGCGUCUGCCGUGAAAGUCCGGGGCUCAACUCCGGAUCUGCGGUGGGUACGGGCAGACUUGAGUGUUGCAGGGGAGACUGGAAUUCCUGGUGUAGCGGUGAAAUGCGCAGAUAUCAGGAGGAACACCGGUGGCGAAGGCGGGUCUCUGGGCCGUAACUGACGCUGAGGAGCGAAAGCGUGGGGAGCGAACAGG